CUCUGCUUCUUAUCAAUCUAUUUCAGAUUACAUAUGCAAACACGGCAGCAAAUAUCUCGCUACAACAGUAAUGCAAUUGCGGAUACAACUAUUUUCUUUCAGCUGCCAUUUUAAUAUCAUGAAAUAUCUUCACUUGGUUAAUACCUGUGGUUUCCAGAAGAAAAGACAUGGGCAAAAUGAAAGCAGAGAUGAUUUCUUUAUUUGAUUCCACUUUGAUACACACAAGCGCUUAUUCGUUUAAAUUUAGCAAUGUUGGAAGAAAAGCAAAAGGCAGAUCUCUGCAGGAGUGGAAGUGAAAAGAAACCUCGAUGGCUUUCGGAUUCAAGGGCAUGCUUUUCAUUACAUCCUCUUUAUUUCAUACACACAACAAUCUGUUUGAGAGGAAGACGGCAAGAUUAACACAAACAGAAUUCAGUCAGCACGACACUGACUGCUGUAAAAACAAACAUAUACAUAAGAAAAUCUAGUUAUUGUUCACCAUCAAUAUUUUACUGUAAUCUGAUUUUAUAUUCACCCAGUGCCUGUUUUAUUGUGGUACUGAGUGAAGUUUAUCACAAAAGUUGAUGAAAAGCUGUAUUUGUGCGUUUGAGGUGAAUGAUCAGCCAUUCCGGUUUUGAAUAAUCAGCUAUUCUCAACAGUCCAUCAUGGCUAUGCUAAAAGCAGAUUUUCUACAGUGGCUUAGAGUGCAGUGAUAACGCUGAAGAGUGACGGUAACCUUGAAGAGUCUCUUGAGAGUUCAGAGAAAGUCACUGAAACACAAGGCAUUGUGGGAAUGCCGAGUGGAGGCAUUCGACCAAUUAGAGGCGAUAAUCUCCUCAGGCAACCCGGACCCAAUCCCCCUCCCUUAUGGAUCUCUCUCUCUCCUUCCUUUGCUCAAUCUCUCUCUGCCUCAGUCACUCUCCCUCCCUUGACUCUUUCCAUCUCCUUCCUAUUCCAAUGCGGUUUGGCUCUUAGUCUUAAACUCUAUUAACUCUGCCUUAUUUUAUGCCUGUUCUUUACAACAGAGAGGCACAGAUUGAGAGGGGUCAAUCAGAGUUGAGCCCAUACGGCUGGGAAGGAGAAACUUUUCUAUUUCAAUUCAAAGGUCUUUGUGGAAAAGAGUUUCACUUUGAAAUGCUGAUUCAGUGGCCUCUGUAGGCCUGGAGUUAUUGAGCUCUUUUAGGACCUGCAGAACAUUAUUGAAAAUUGCAAGACGUCUUUAAAUCCUCUGGCAGGAUGUGACACGUAGGGUUAUGAUGAGUGUAAGAGAGGGACUUGGUGUUAAGGAAAAAUACACCAGCAUAGGGAAUGUUCAGGCACAUAUCGUAUUUACCUAUUCCACAGUGACAAUGGGCUCUUUCACAUAGACUUUGAUGUAAAUUGCACAGAAUUUUAUUCUGUUCAGAGCUGUGAUUGAAGUGUCUCUAUACCUCUCCAGCUAGCUAUGCUGUUCAACAGUUUAUAUUAGCAAAUUGUUUUGGGAAGUAACUAACUAAAAUUAGUAACUGCAUUUAUCAGCGACAGUACAGCAGAAUAUUUUUUAUUUUUUUAAUAUUAAAGGAAAUGCUACUGUUUAGUUAUGCAAAUUAGAUUCUAAUUUUUACUUAUAUUUAUUAAAACGUAUACUACUGUUCAAAAGUAUGGAGUCAGUAAAAUGUUUAUUAUUUGUAAUUUUUUUAUAUCUUUAUUCAGGAAGGACGCAUUAAAUUGAAAAGUGGCAGUAAAUACAUAUACUGUUUUAAAUAAAUGCAGUUUGAACUUUCUUUUCAAAGAAUUCCGGAAAAAAAAAAAAAUAAUAAUAAAAUAAAUAAUGGUUCCACAAAAAUAUUAAGCUGCACUGUCAUGCUAUGGUGAAAAACACAAAGAAGAUGAAGAUGAAUGCAAAUAGUCUUUAAUAAAUCCACACAAGGGUAAAUAUAGGACAGAACAGGCAGGAGACACACGUAGGGACCAGACAACAAACAAAACAAAACACAGCUAAUAUAGUCGAGCAAAUUAGGAUAAUUAACCAGACACACCUGAACCAAAUGAUAUAAUCUAUCAGAGAUGGAAACUAGGUCAAACAGAGCACAUGGGGGAAGAAAACACAAAACAGGUCCAUGAGAUGUGAAAGUUCACCCCCCUCUCCAAAGGCGCGACCUCGUACCACAGAGAUAAAGGGAGGGACAGAGGGGGACUUAGGAGGAGAAUAAAGGAGUGGAUGUGGGAUGGUGACAGGGGAUGGCAAAGGGCCUGCAGGAAGACAGACAGGAGGUGGUUCAGGAGGUGGCCGGAUAACUGGGAGGUGGACGACCAACAGAGUCCAGGGCAGACCAGAUGGAGGGAGGAGCCAGGGAGAAGACAGACGGGACAAGGGUGGAUCCGAUGGAGGGAGGAGCCAGGGAGAAGACAGAAGGGAGCCAGAGGAGCCAGGCAGGACCCAGAUCACAGCCAUGAUGGCGACCCACAGUGGAGCCAACGGAGGGAGGAGCCAUGGUGGAGGAAAGGCUGACGACUCCAGGGGGCCGACCAACAGUGUCAGAGCCCGAGGUGGAGACAGAGAGCCAGGGCGACGGGUAGGAUCCGGAGGGCCAAGGCAGAGCAGAUGGCUCCGGUAACUGAGGAAAAGGUAGGGAUCCGGAAGGACGAGGUAGAGCCAGAGCGACAGAGGACCAAGGUGUAGCAGGAGGGAAGGAGUCUGACAGAGCCAGUGGGACAGAGGGAAGUGGUGUAGCCAGAGGAGUGGAGUCUGGGACUCAGAGGCGGAGACAAGGGAUCUUCCAGCCAUGACGCCGAUGGAGACUGGCAGACCCGUGGCGAUCCCACUACACAGAUUGUGGGCUGAGGGUGAGCUGAGGGGCCACCAGGAGACAGCAGUGGCAAUGGUGAAGACUGAUAUAGAGGAGGUGGGAAAGGGGGGCUGGGCAGGAGUUCCGAAUGUUCAGGAACGGUGUGUGCUGCCCACACACACACACACUCACACCACAAGGCCACUCCCAGCACCGGGAGCGUCAGUGACAGGGGAAUGGCCUCCAUGGUAAUUUCAGGACAGAUAGACAGUUUGGGAUGGACAGACAGAUAGGACACUCUCCAGACACCGAAACAUGACCUCCCUCCAGUUCAGUCCAGUGGUGUCUGGGAGGUCCACGGGGUGAGGGUAAUUUGUCAUUUUACGGGGACGUGACGCCAAGACGGGCAAAUCUAGGUGAAACGAAACUAGAAAGUGGCUCUCCGCCCAAUCCAUAACAAAAAAGACAAAAAAAAAAAAAUAAAAAAAUAAUAAAAUAACAAAAAAAAAAAAAAUGCAGGGAAAAGGCACCGCUUACUAUUUAUCUUCUAGGUCCUGUCUUCUGUCACGUUACUGUAAGAUAAAUGAACAAAGAAGAUGAUGAAUGUAAAUAGUCUUCAAUAACUCCACAAGGGUAAAUCCAGGACAGAACAGGCACAAGGGGCACAUGUAGAGACGUAGUGGACGGACGACAAACAGAGAACAGAACACAACUAAUAUAGUGGAGCAAAUGAGGAUAAUUAACCAGACACACCUGAAGCAAAUGACAUAAUCAAACGGAGACAGAAACUAGGUCAAACAGAGCACAUGGGGGAAGAAAACACAACAAAACAUGAGGUAUGACAUGCACAAAUGUUUUCAACCUAAUAAUAAGAAGAAAUGUUUCUUGAGCAGCAAAACAGCAUAUAUAUAUUGUCUUACUUUUUGCUGUAUUCAAAUAAAUUCAAGCCUUGGUGAGAAUUUAAAAAUAAAAUAAUAUAAAUAUUACAGACCCCCAAACUUUUAAUCAGGAGAAAAUCAAUGUUUGAUAUGUUUACUCUCAUUUUACAUUCAAUCAGUAACCUGAUUAACUAAUUAAUCAGCUGUAUACAUGUCUUUUUUUGACCAUAUAAUGCAAGUCAAUUGUUACCAAAACUCUUUGGCUACUACUGAUCUUCUAAACCUUGUGUCCGGCAGAAGAAGGAAAGUAAUACAGGUUUAUAACAAAAUGAGGUUGAUAAAAGAUCACAGAAUUUUCAUUUUGGGGGGAUUUUUCUACCCUUUUAAGUAGCUUCUAUCAGUCUACUUAUAGCUUGCCAUCUUUUAUAGAGUACAUUGACGGUAGUUUGACUACUUUAAAUGUGUCUUACCUUGGCAAGAUAGCUUCAAAAUAGCUUUCCCAACAUAUAAAGUCAAGCCAAAAUUUAUUCAGAAACCUUCAACAUUUCUCAUAUUAUCACAGUUUAUUCACUAUUGUUUAGAAAAUGGUUAUAAAAUAUGACAAAAACUGAGAGUUAAACUGUAUCAGAAAAAAAAAAUCAUCUCGAUAAUGUCAGAUAACUUUGAUAGAAAGGUAUGUAAUGGAUUACUAUCAACCAAAAAUUAUUCAGACGACUGUUAGUAUGACAAUAUUUACACAACUAUCAAUACUUUGUUGGGCCACCCUUAGCAACCUCAGUUACCACUUUUCCACUGGGGCUGGUGCCAGUACUUGAACCGGUGCUCAGCCAAGUUUGGCACUCAUUCAGAACCGGCUCACGUUUCCACUGGCAGUGAGCAGAACCUAAGUCACCAACCUACGUGACCAGAAUUAUUUGUUAUCUCUUGCAGAAUAAGAGCGUUGAUCUCUUCUGCUGACCACUGCUAAACUGACAUAUUUAAUUGUUGUUGUGAAUUUUGUUAAUUUACCUGAACUCCAACAGCUUUUAAAUAUAGGCUUAUUUGAGAUGCAUCGGCACCACACACCACACAUAUGCAUCGGUAUAUGACAUCAAAGUACCGCAAGAGCAAUUCAAAAGCAUAAAGAGUCGUCUGCUUUCCAAUUGCUCUGGCGGUACUUUGAUUAUUAUGCAGAUUGGUCUGCACAGCGCCGAUGCAUCUCAAACAAUCCUAAUGGCUCCUUUCAAACUUCAGUCUGUAGUAGAAGCUGACAUCAUAGGUUCCCUUGUUCGAGACCAGCAAGGUUUCGGGGCCAGUUCGGAACCAGGAUCUGGGCACUGGCCCAGGAUUAUUUUGGGGUGGAAAAGCCCAGCCAAGUUCCCAAUUAGGCUCCGGCUCCAGCACCAGCCCCUGGUGGAAAAGCGAUAAAUGACAGCCUGUAGUCUCCUGGGCAUGCUGUCAGCCAGGUUCAUGCAAACCUGAACUUCAAUAUUUUCCCAGACUCACUGCAGCAGAUUCUUUAUUUCCUGUUGUUUUUUUGGCACUUCAUCCAGGCGGCACCGUUCCAUCACCUCCCAGAGAUGCUCAGUCAGGUUUAGAUCUGGACUUAGUGGUGGGCAGUUUAGUACUUUAAUCCUCUUCUGCUUAAAGAAAUCACCAACCUUCUUUGCAGUGUGGUUGGGGCCGUUAUCACACUAAAAGAUGUAACAACGCCCCAUGAGCUUCCAGGCUGAUGGCAGCAUCUGACUCUGGACAAUUUCCACAUACAUUUCCGAGUUCAUAAUUUUCAUCAAUGAAAUGUAGUUUACCUUGUCCACUAGCUGCCAUACACCCCCACACCAUCACAUUGUCCCCACCGUGCUUUACAGUAGGGGUGAGACACUGGGGUUCUCCACAUUUUAGUUUUGCCAUCACAGCCAAACAAAUUAAAUUUGCUCUCAUCACUCCAAAGAAUUGACUUCCAAAAUUCUGCAGACUUGUUGAUAUGUUCUUUAGCAACCUGGAGGCAUUUUAUUUGAUUUCAAAGGUUUCUUCUGGGGUCAUUCAGCCUGUUGCGAAUGGUUUGAGCACACAGCUCUGUGUAAGUGGCCUUUUUGACUUCAGCAGAAAUUAUUUUAGCAGAAUUUUUUUCUAUUUUUCAAUGCUAACUGUUUUAUAAGUCUGUCUGUUCUGGGUGUUGUCUUUUUCUUUCUUCCACGACCAGGCAAAUUCUUCACCUCACCAGUCUCUCUAAAUUUCUUCACAAUGGAAAAGACUUUCCCUUUAGGGAUAUCUAAUCAUUUUGCUAUAUUUCUGAUUGAAAUGCCCUCCUCAUAGAAUUUGACUACCUUUCGUCUCAAAUCAGUUGCUAUUUCAUUGGUUUUGGCCAUCCUUUUGUUAGACUGUCUCACAAAUGAAUUAGGAUGAAUAGCAGUCAGCAGUUGAAUUAAAGUACACAAUUAGAUCAUACCAAUAAGUCGACCAAUUACCAAGCAAUGCUUAACGUUGUUCAGUCUGUGGUGUAAAAGGUCACAUUAGCUAUUAAAGAAAAAACACUUAAGCAAAACAUGGUUAGGUCAAAGUGUCUGAAUAAUUUUUGGUCCCAAAUUUGUUGGGUAGUCCACUGUAUGAAGAAUUUUUGGGUAUAAUAUGUUGCAGUUUACUUUAUUUUGCUAUCCUCACUUAACAAAAAUGAACUACAGUUUCCUGUACCCACUAGUAAACAAGUAUCAAAAAAUGAUAUCUGGUGACUGAAUAAUUUUUGGUUUGAAUGUACAUUUCUUGAAGAGACAUUAUGAAUUUAUGCUUUCACAUACUUCUCCAUGGACAGAAAAACACAAAGGUUUGCUUUCUUCUUCCAAAGCCCUGUCUUCCCCCAUGACUUGUGGCACACUGGAGCAGGAUUUUCUUACUGAAAUAAAGAAGAAAAAUGCUUGAAUAUGAAAAUACAGUCUGUCAUCCCAUGUGAUGUAGCCUCUAGUACAAUUUUUAAACAACAAUAAUAAACAAAUGUCUUGGAUAUGGUAUGUAGCAAUACAUCACUCAGACAGUAAUUGAACCAGCUAUGUAUUACUUACAUGUAAGUUAACAACACGGGGGUGUAGUGCUGUGGGUGUCAGUAUGUGUUUAUAUGCAGAGUCAUUACGGGUGACUUAUGUGUUGCUUGUGCAAGCAGAACUCAUUUUGUAGAAAACAUUAUGUCCUUCUUUCUGCUGAUGGAGAGUUUGGCCCUGCAGCUCCAUUCAUUCUGCUCCAGUAGCGCUGGGCUUCAUGUACUGCGUGGUAAGAUCAAGAAGAAGGAACUGCUUUUGAGUUUGGUUUGAUCAUGGAUCACCUCCGGGAAGAUCAGUACAUAAAUAACAACCAGUGAGAAAGACCCUCAUAGGCCCUGUAGUUCGAUUACAGCUUCACUCUUUCUCUUUUUCACUGGUUAGGUAACUAUCACAGUCUCUUGUAUCACAAGGCUUGUAUAAAUACUCAAAGUGUGAAAGAAAAGUGACAUUUUCAAAGCGAACAGGUGCCGAACGUGGCCUUUCAUUGCUUGUCUGUUCUCAGGAAGCUUCGAAGGCUUUCAGAUUUAUUGACAUUGCUCUCUUUCCCUGCUUGUACAUGUUGUUCUUAUGGGUUUGGAGUCUUUCCAUCAGUCUGGUGUAGUGUUUAUUUGUGCGCUGCAGGCCACCGGUGGAACACAAUAACACGCCGCGCAUCCUAGCGUGGGAGCAGCCAGUAUCUGUUAGGCUAGACAAUUGACUAAUACCUUUGUCUCAUUAUGGACUUGUUGUGUAAGCCAUGCAACGUGGUGCGAGGCUUGGCCAUGCGUUUCCAUCCGCAAACGUGGGCAUUCAACUGACCCGACGGUGAAUAUUAAACACUCAUAAGAAUAGUAGUGUACUGAUAUGGAUAAAAACGAGGCAGUCCAGUUGUUUUCUAGGGUAAGGAAAAAUUUGACUGUCCUCAGUUAAAGGGCAUAAGUUGGAACAUGCACAUACUUGUGAAAAAUAAGUACAUUUUAGUAUACUUAUACUUAGUAUGGAUAUAAUCAGGAGCAUUUCUAGUUUUGGAUACUGUUUUGGAUAUAAAUUGAUGUAAACUGUCUUUACUUGCAGUAUAGAUUCCUUCACCAGCUGCAUCUGCAAGAAAGAGCUGCUUUGUUGUUUAUCAAUUGUGACCCUGGACCACAAAAGUCGCUGUGGUAUAUUUUUAGCAAUAGCCAAUAGAACAUUAUAUGUAAAUAUCGCUUUUUCUUUUAUGCCAAAAAUCAUUAGGAUUUUAAGUAAAGAUUAUGUUCCAUGAAGAUAUUUUGUAAAUUUCCUACCAUAAAUAUAUCAAAACUUAAUUUUUGUUUAGUAAUAUGCAUUGCUAAGAAUUCAUUUGGACAACUUCAAAGGCGAUUUUAAUCUCACAUAUUUAAAUAUAUUUAUAAUUACACAUUUGUAAUGAUAAAGUUGCAUUUUAGUACAUUUAAUUGUAUACCUUUAUGUAUACCUUUAUGUAUACCUUUCAUUGUUAUACCACAUACCACACUACAAUUAAAAUUAUUGUCAUACUGUACAUUGCUUGUUAGUCAAUGCAUCAGAAUAGGUGUAAGUACAUUACAACUGCAUGUUCAGUACAUCUAAGCACACUUCUUUUUCACAAGGGCAUCCUUUCUUCAGUGGAACUGUUUUUGGCGUGGCAAGCAGGGACAGAUGCCACAUGGCCCGACAAUCUGACAUUGUACUAAAACAACAGCUGCAUCAUGGUACCCUUGGGAUUUGACACUAACCUUGAAAGAUAUCCCUUACUAUCCCAGAGUCUCCUCCUGUACGGUAGCUUGUUGGUGAUCGCCCAAAAACUGCAUCUGCACAGUAGCGCACAUCAAAACACCACAGCGGUAGCAAAGCAGCAGAACAGCCUGUGGGUUUGGCAAGGCCUGUCUGACCAACUCACUUCAGCCCGCCUUUUAUCCGGCCGUUUACUGUAAACACACAAACACAAACAGAGCGGAGCUCGGCUUCAGUGGGAAUGGGUAAUGAUGCUGGUGUGUGUAUGGACUGCUGUCAGCGAUGAGCGGCAGAUCGCACAGCAUAGCCAAAGUAUCCUCAUAGGAAACACUGCUCAGAUCUUAGGCCCUAAUGCCUCGUACUGGAUCAUGAAGCGUGCGAAGGAACGCCAAGCAGCCUCUGCAGAGAGCUAUUCUGGAGAAAACCAAAUCGUGUUUAUGCCGGCAUGCUGUGUUGAGCUGUAUCAACUCAUCUAUUUAUAUAAACAACUUUUCUGGGAGUCAACUAUGAAAGAGUUUAUAGUCAGCUGUAACAGAGCACUGGUUUUUGACUUUCUGCUGCAUCUGCUUUUGGUAUGUCAGGGACAAUUGACAAACAGCAGGUCAUUAUAAACCAAAAUAAACCCCAAAAUGCACAUCAGAGUUCAGAUACGAGGUGGAGGUUAUCAUUUGUUAUCAGCUGUAAUUGCUGUCAAAUAUAGCUUCUCUUUGUUUAGUUUAAUCAAUAGUUGCCUCAUUUUAACCUUCCGAGACAUACUGGAAACUGGAAAGAAUGCAAUAUGAUUUACACAAUAUAAAAAUACUGCUAAUGCAAAGUUUUUUUUUUAAUUCCUGAAGAAGUCAUUUGGUAAAUUUAGUUCAUUUACCAUGUGUGAAAGUCACAGAGGUAGGCAGGUAAAAAAAAAAAAAAAAAAACAUGUCAUGAAUGCCAAAGAUAUAAACAGAAAUGAAGAUUUGCAACAGUAAUAUACAAGCAGGGCUUUUUUAAAUGUUUUCUUUCUUUCUUUCUUUCUUUCUUUUGUUUGUUUGUUUGUUUAUUUAUUCAUUUAUUUAUUUAUGUAAGUCAUAAUGGAAGUCUAAGGAAGUAGUGUGUAUUUUAAUAGUUUUAAAUUAAAUGUAUUUUUCCCCGAAAAUAUGGUAACAUCUAUCUAUCUAUCUAUCUAUCUAUCUAUCUAUCUAUCUAUCUAUCUAUCUAUCUAUCUAUCUAUCUAUCUAUCUAUCUUGCAUCUGCUUUUGAUAUGUACAGAGCAGUGCUGUCAUUGUUCUAAAACUAUCUAAACUAAAACUUUUUUUAAAACAACAAUUGAAAUGAAGCUGAAAUACUGUAAAAUAUAGAUAUUGGAACUUAAAAAAAACAAAAACUAUA
ensembl:lncRNA